rnacentral:lncRNA from 1 species
AUACUCAUCUCGAUGCUAAAUACUACUCCCUUAAAUUUGUUAUGCUCAUCUUGUUGGAAUCCACUUUAAAACUAGCAUAAGGGUUUAUUAUAAAACCAGUUAUGCACUUAUCUGAAUCAAUCUAUAAAUGAAGCUUUUUUUAUUUCUGUAAUUUGUAAUAAAUCUAUAAAGUGGAUUCCAAAACUUCUCUGGUGAUCGAAAGAUCAAAGCUUUACUGAAAAUCUGUAAAUAAUC